CUGAACCAGCCAAGUAGCGUGAAGGAUGACUGCCCUAUGGGUUGUAAACUUCUUUUAUACGGGAAUAAAGUGAGGCACGUGUGCCUUUUUGUAUGUACCGUAUGAAUAAGGAUCGGCUAACUCCGUGCCAGCAGCCGCGGUAAUACGGAGGAUCCGAGCGUUAUCCGGAUUUAUUGGGUUUAAGGGGAGCGUAGGCGGACAGUUAAGUCAGUUGUGAAAGUUUGCGG
rnacentral:rRNA from 1 species